UACGUAGGGUGCAAGCGUUGUCCGGAAUUAUUGGGCGUAAAGAGCUCGUAGGCGGUUUGUCGCGUCUGCUGUGAAAACUCGGGGCUUAACUCCGGGCCUGCAGUGGGUACGGGCAGACUAGAGUGCGGUAGGGGAGACUGGAAUUCCUGGUGUAGCGGUGAAAUGCGCAGAUAUCAGGAGGAACACCGGUGGCGAAGGCGGUUCUCUGGGAAUGUACUGACGCUGAGGAGCGAAAGUGUGGGGAGCGAACAGG
rnacentral:rRNA from 1 species